AUUGAACGCUGGCGGAAUGCUUUACACAUGCAAGUCGAACGGCAGCAUAGGUGCUUGCACCUGAUGGCGAGUGGCGAACGGGUGAGUAAUACAUCGGAACGUGCCCAGUCGUGGGGGAUAGCGUAGCGAAAGUUACGCUAAUACCGCAUACGAUCUAAGGAUGAAAGCGGGGGACCGUAAGGCCUCGCGCGAUUGGAGCGGCCGAUGUCAGAUUAGGUAGUUGGUGAGGUAAAGGCUCACCAAGCCGACGAUCUGUAGCUGGUCUGAGAGGACGACCAGCCACACUGGGACUGAGACACGGCCCAGACUCCUACGGGAGGCAGCAGUGGGGAAUUUUGGACAAUGGACGCAAGUCUGAUCCAGCCAUUCCGCGUGCAGGACGAAGGCCUUCGGGUUGUAAACUGCUUUUGUACGGAACGAAACGCUUCGAGCUAAUACCUCGGAGUAAUGACGGUACCUGAAGAAUAGCACCGGCUAACUACGUGCCAGCCGCCACGGUAA
rnacentral:rRNA from 1 species